rnacentral:lncRNA from 1 species
AGUUACGCGCACUCACUGUUCAUCAUCUUCCUCGCGUUUUCUCUCCAUAGGCUACAUUUUUCAGGUUCGUUUUCUCACUUUUACACCAUUUAAAAUUAAUUUUACUCUGAUUACAUUACUCUUUGAUGAACUAUCUUUCAUUUGAAUCGAUUAAAAUGCGUUUUCGUUGGGUUUUAGUGCAGUUUUGCUCGUGUCCUUGGGUGGCGAUUUCUUGUGUUUUGCACUCCUCGAAUUCCCUCCACUACAUUUUUAAAACCAUCCAAUACAAAAAAAAAAAAAAAAAUACAAUCCAUUCUCUUCAACUAAAAUAUAAAGUUGUAAACUCG